GAUGAACGCUGGCGGCGUGCCUAAUACAUGCAAGUCGAGCGAACAGACGAGGAGCUUGCUCCUCUGACGUUAGCGGCGGACGGGUGAGUAACACGUGGAUACCCUACCUAUCAGACUGGGAUAACUUCGGGAAACCGGAGCUAAUACCGGAUAAUCUCUUGAACCGCAUGGUUCAAUAGUGAAAGACGGUUUUGCUGUCACUUAUAGAUGGAUCCGCGCCGCAUUAGCUAGUUGGUAAGGUAACGGCUUACCAAGGCAACGAUGCGUAGCCGACCUGAGAGGGUGAUCGGCGACCCGGGAGCGGGACCACGGACAAGACUCCUACGGGAGGGAGCAGAAGGGAAUCUUACGCAAUGGGCGAAAGCCUGACGGAGCAAGGCCGCGUGAGUGAUGAAGGUCUUCGGAUCGUAAAACUCGGUUAUUAGGGAAGAACAAAUGUGUAAGUAACUAUGCACGUCUUGACGGUACCUAAUCAGAAAGCCACGGCUAACUACGUG
rnacentral:rRNA from 1 species